CCUACGGGCGGCUGCAGUGGGGAAUAUUGCACAAUGGGCGCAAGCCUGAUGCAGCCAUGCCGCGUGUGUGAAGAAGGCCUUUGGGUUGUAAAGCACUUUCAGCGGGGAGGAAGGCGGUGAGGUUAAUAACCUCAUCGAUUGACGUUACCCGCAGAAGAAGCACCGGCUAACUCCGUGCCAGCAGCCGCGGUAAUACGGAGGGUGCAAGCGUUAAUCGGAAUUACUGGGCGUAAAGCGCACGCAGGCGGUCUGUCAAGUCGGAUGUGAAAUCCCCGGGCUCAACCUGGGAACUGCAUUCGAAACUGGCAGGCUAGAGUCUUGUAGAGGGGGGUAGAAUUCCAGGUGUAGCGGUGAAAUGCGUAGAGAUCUGGAGGAAUACCGGUGGCGAAGGCGGCCCCCUGGACAAAGACUGACGCUCAGGUGCGAAAGCGUGGGGAGCAAACAGGAUUAGAUACCCUAGUAGUC
rnacentral:rRNA from 1 species